GUGUGGUCUCACAUGUGGCUCAUUACAAAAAGAUUGAGGACGAUCUUUUGCAAGUUUCUGGUCCAUCUUAUAGCUGCAAACUCUCUUUGCCUUUUUCAAAGCAUAAAAUGGACAUCAGCAAGGUGGCACACAUGUUGCUUAAA